CACACACCAUUAGCAGAAAUUCAUUGGAAAAAAAACACAUGGGGUCUGACGUUUUGACCAAUUUUCAUAGACUGAAGCCCCUUGAACAACUUGCUCAUUGGUUAGUUAACACCCAAGGAAAUCCCACUGCAUCAGUUGUUGUUGUUGUUGUUGUAACCAUCUCGUCCUCUGUCGUCCCCUUCUCCUCUUGCCCUCACAUUUUCCCAACAUCAAGGUCUUUUCCAAGGAGUCUUCUCUUCUCAUGAGAUGGCCAAAGUCUUGGAACCUCAGCUUCAGGAUCUGUCCUUCCAGGGAGCGCUCAGGCUUGAUUUCCCUGAGUUCUGCAUCAGUGGGUCAACUCUUGUUGAAAUGAGUGAUCAUAUUUGAUCAUUUUGGCCCAACUCUCAGGAAUCACGAAAUAUUGGGAGAAUCUCUGAUUAAGCUCCCCAAAGUGAAGGAAAGCUGUAAGAGCAUAAAGCAGGAGAGACCUUCCCGGGGCAUCCAUUUUGCUCUUUUCAACCUGGUGCUCCAAGCAUCUGGAACAUGGGUGGCACUUUGGAGAGAGGACUGGAGAAGUAAUUUUACCCUGACCCCCCCCCCCAGCUUGUUUUAGGGUUGGGAGGAAUUCCAUUGAGAGAUACACAAACACAAAUACAGUUUCCCAAACCCAGGGGGCACCUUCUCUUCCUGAAGGGGAGUAUUUCACAACCAGGGAGCAGCCACCGAAAAGGCUCUGCCUCAUGUCUCUGUUAAACAUGUCGGGGAUGGCCUUGGGACCGGGAGCAGGGCGUCCUCGGAAAGUCUUACAAGCCACGAAGACUCCUAUAGGGCCUCUGGCCACCCCUCAACCAACCCGCACAAAAACAUACCGUACUAAUGACACAUCUUCCUUUUUUUGGUUUAUUUGGACAGUCAUCUUCUCAGCUGCCCAGUUAAAUCCAGCCGUGGGGGGAAACGCGGUGUUCACCUGCAACGUAUCCAACAUGCGUACUUCAAAAUACUCCAUUUUCUGGUACAAGAUGGGUGAGGACAACCAGCCGAAGAAACUGGACAGCAGCAAUGGGAAGAAAUAUCUCCAAACUGAAGUCGACCCGAAGACGUUCAAGAUGAACAUUCUAGAUUUAAAGAAGAACGAUAGUGGGGUUUAUUACUGUGGAUUGAUAUCCUUCUCGUCCAAUCAGACCCUGAUAGAAAGCAAGAAGAUUAACCUCACAGUGUCAGAAAAAAACCACGAUCCUGGACCUUCGGAAGAUCCAGGGGAGGAAGAGCGUCAGGAUGAAGAAGGUCACCAGAAGAUCCUCCUUCCUGUCGUUACAGGAUCUGGACUUCUUUUGGUGCUUGUAGGUUCCUGUGUCCUUCUCGCUUACCUCAUGAGGAGAAAGCAAGAGCACAGAAGCUCACAGGGUGAAAAUGCUCCCUUGGUAAGUCUCUUUUAGCUAAAUUCAGGGGCCCGCCACCCCCCCCCCCAAACGAAGAGGGAUAAAAAGAAAUUUGGAGGUUCUGAAAAUAAUUCCCCACCCCUACCUAGAGAUGUAAAAUUUCUGGAAAUUUCCACUUUUCCCUGAAAAAACACAAAACGAGGUGACAUUUUUUCUCCUGGAAAAAAAUGAUCUGAUCCCCCACCCAAUUUUUUCCAUCUUUACCCCUGCCCCACACUGAGAUCAGCAGGGUCCAGAUAGUGGCUUUUGUGUCUCCUGCAGGGUGAGGAAGACUUUUAAAAUUCAUUUUUGGUGUGUCUCAAAGGAGUGGUGGUGGUGCUGAAGUACUGUCCUGGGAGCCUUUGUGGUGGAGGGGGGGUCACUCGUAGCCAAGUCUUGAUUUAGGUCAAUGAACCAUUUUUUAAAAAUCUGUUCACAGGCUUACGACAGAUGUUAAAAAGUUAUUUUUGUGAAGUAGUUCCCACAAAGAGCCCAAAAUAAGUUUGGUUUUUGUUAUAUUGCAACAAAGCAGAAUCCCUUUGCUUGUCUGCAAAUGACAGAUUUUUUUUUUUAGCUACCUUGAAAAUUCUGUUUUUCAUUCAUCCAGACAAGGUAGACAACAAGCCAGCACCUGAAGCUUAUGAUAUUCUUCCUCUGCUACAAUAUUUAGUGAGCCCUAGAAAAUUAACUUGGAAGCUGGGAGGGGAUUGGCUGUAUUAG
ensembl:lncRNA